GUACUUCAUAUGAGUGGAAUUACACAAUUUGUCCUUCUGGGAUUGGCUUAUUUUACUUAGCAUAAUGUCAUCAAGGUUCAUCCAUAUUGCAUCAUGGCCUUGUGUAAAAAUUUCCUUUCUUUUCAAGGAUGAAUAACAUUCCACUAUAUGUAUAUCCACACUUUAUCUGUUGAUAGACAUAUGGGUUGCUUCCAAAUGAGGAAUUCUGAUCCAAUGCUGGUGACAAGAAGCUCAGGAGACUGGCCCUGGAAUGGAGCAGUCUCUCUGAUGCUGUGACCACAAAGAAUCAAUCCAGUGAUUAGGACCACAGAACACAAAACUGUUAAAAGGAAUUUCCAUAUGGUUCUCUCUCCUAGGAACUGGGGCUAGAAAGAGCUUUUGUUUAAAUACUAAUAUAUUGGAAUACAGCUGUGGCUGCCUAGGAUGGUCUAAAAGCAAAUCCUGAAUUCACCUUAGUUUCUGCAGACCUCCCUUCUCCCCUGUUCUUUUCUUCCCCUCAGCUCUGAGACAUAAUUGACACAUAAUACUGUGCUAAGCUUAAGGUAUACAACAUGCUGAUUUGAUACGCUGCAUACAUAUCACAUGCUGAUACGAUUUGAUACGAUUCAUGUGCGGGCUUCCCUGGUGGCUCAGAUGGCAACGCAUCUGCCUACAAUGUGGGAGCCCCAGGUUCAAUUCCUGGGUCAGGAAGAUCUCCUAGAGAAGGAAAUGGCAACCCCCUCCAGUAUUCCUGCCUCGAAAAUCCCAUGGACAGAGUAGCCUGGUAGGGUACAGUCCACGGGGUCUCAAAAAGUCAGACAUGACUGAGCAAGUUCACUUUUCACACAUGCUGCAAUAUGAUUACCACUGUAGCAUUAGCUAACACCUUCAUUUACAUCACAUUCUUUUCUGUGGCAAGAACCUUUAACAUACACUCUCCUAGAAAUUUUCAAGUGUACAAUGAACUAAAAUUAUAACGCUGCACAUCAGAUCUCCAGAAAUUAUUCAUCUUCUGAUUUGAAGUCUGUACCCUUUGAUUAACAUCUCUUUAAUUUCCCCACCCCCUGGUCUCUGGUAGCCAGCAUUCUACUAUUUCUUUAAGUCUGGCUUUUUUAUAUGCCAUACAUGAGUGAGAUCAUACAGUAUUAGUCUUUCUCUGACUUAUUUCAUUCAGUAUAAUGCCCUCAAGGUCUAUUCAUGUUGCUGCAAAUAGUAGGAUUUCGUUCCCUCUCAGGGCUGAAUAUCACUGUAUUGUAUGUGUGUUUGUGUGUGGUCACAUCUUCUUUAUCCAUUCAUCUACUGAUGGACACUUAGAUUGUUUUCAUAUCUUGGCUAUUGUGAAUAAUGCUGCAAUCACCAAUGUGGUAUACAUAUUGCUUCAAUAUCCUAUUUUCACUUCCUUUGAAUAUAUGCUCAGAAGUGGAACUGCUGGAUCAUAUGACAGUUCUGUUUUUAGUGUGGUGGUGGUGGUUUAGUCGCUAAGUCCUGUCUGACUCUCACGACCCCGUGGACUGUAGCCCACCCUGCCAGGCUCCUCUGUCCAUGGGAUUUUCCAGGCAAGAAUCCUGGAGUGGGUUGCCAUUUCCUUCUCCAGGAGAUCUUCAGGACCCAGGGAUUGAACCCAGGUCUCCUGCAUUGCAGGUGGAUUCUUGCACUGCAGCCGGAUUCUUUAGCGACUGAGCUACGAGGGCAGCCCGCUCCAUACUGUUUUCCGUAGUGGCUGUGACAAUUUGCAUUCCCACCAACACUAAAACAAGGGUUCCCCUUACUCUACACUGGCAAGUAUUCUUGCCAAUACUUGUCAUCUCUGGUCUGUUUGAGGAAUAGCUAUUGGAGUCGGACAUGACUGAGCGACUGAACUGAACUGAACUGAUUCUAACAGGGGUGAAGGAAUAGUUCAUUAUGGUUUUGAUUAGCAUUUCCCUAAUGAUUCCUGACUGUGAGUUCAUUUUCCUGAACUGCUGACCAUUUUUACUUCCCCGUCCACAUGUUUUCUCUCGCCUACCUCUCCAGUCUCAUGGCCCUCCACUUUCAUCAUCCUGCUGAUGGUCCAGCAACACUAAACAUGCAGGUCCCUGCCGCCUAGCCUCCACUGUCAGUGGUAUCUCUGGCUGGAAAGCUUUCCUCUCUCUGCUUACUCGUAGUUAUGGGCAUCUCUCCAGGAGGCCUUUCUUUUUCUUCUUUGUAAUCCCAGGAUUUGAGUGCUUGGCAUGUAAUGGCUGCUUGAUAAAUUAUUGAACUAAACUAUAUUUGCUACAUUCACAUUCUCUGUUGAGAAGACAAGUUUAAAGAAAAAUUCAAGGUCAAUGGGAUUACAGGUAAUUUUUAUUUAUACUUCAAUAUUGUUCAAGCUUUCUAAUGAUGUGAUGACCUUUCAAAUUUUAGAAAAAUUUAAGAACACUCUGAUCAAGAAUAAAGUGGAGGAAUCAGUGUACCACAUUUCAAGACUUAUCAAAAAGCUAGAGUUAUCAACAGUAUGCAGUACUGAAGAAGAAUAGACACAUGGGAACCACUGAUCAGUACAGAGAACCCAGAAACAGACCAACACAAAUAUACCCAACUACUUUAUGACAAAUGGAGAAGGAAAUGGCAACUUGCUACCUAUUCUUGCCAGAAAAUCCCAUGGACAGAGGAGCCUGGCAGCACAGUCUUGUCCACAAAUAGUGCUGGAGCAAUCAAGCAUCCACUCCCAAGUAAUAAUGAUACUAUUAAUAUUAAUAAAAAUAAUGAAUAAAAUAAAAAUCUCAAUCUAGGUCUCACAUUUUAGAUCACAAUUAACUUAGAUCAUGGACUUAAGUGAAAAAUAUAAAAUUAAAAUAUUUGGAAGGAAAAACACAGAGAAAAUCUCUGCAACAGGGCUAGGCAGAGUUCUUGUAUUUGACCAAAAUAAUACAACCCAUAAAAAGAAAAAUUGGUAAAAAGGGCUUCAUCCAAAUCAAAAACUUCUCCUCUUCGCCCUGUUUGGUAGAUGAAAAGACAAGCUUCAGAGUGGGAGAAAAUAUUUGCAAACCAUGUACUGACAAGAACUGAUAGCUUGGGCAUAUACAGAACUCCCAAAACUCAACAGUAGAGCUUCCCCAGUGCCUCAGUGGUAAAGAACCCACUUGCCAAUUCAGGAGACACAGGUUUGACCCCAUGAGCCUCAGGACAACUGAGCCACAACUACUGAAGGCCGUACGCUCUAGAGCCCGCACUCUGCAGCAGGGGAAGCCACCACAACGAGAGGCCAUGAGCUCAAUGAAGAGCAGCCCCUGCUGCUGCAACCAGAGAAAGGCUCGUGCAGCAACAGACUCAGCACAGCCAAAAGUAAAUAAAUUAAUAGUUUUAAAUAUAUGUAAAAAAAAGUUUAACUCCACAGUAAAAAACAAAGAAUCCAAAUAGAUAACAGACAAAAGAGUUGAAGAGAGACAUUUGACCAAAGAGUAUAUACAGGUGGCAAAUAAACCUAUGAAAAGAUAUUCAACAACACUGGCCGUUAGAGACUAUAACCAAUGGUGAGUGGUUAAACAAAUGAACUGUUCUACAUCCACACCAUGGAAUAUUACUCAGCAAUGAAAAAGAAUGAAAAGAAUAUUACUCAGCAAUGAAAAAGACUAACUAGUGACAUGUGCAACAAUGUGGAUGAAUCUCCAGUGAAUUAUGCUGAAGGAAAAAACCAACCCUCCACAGUUAUACUGUGUGAAUCCACUUAUAUAAAACUCUUGAAAUAUUAACAAGGAGAAGAAAUCACAGGUUAAGGAUAUGGUGGGUAUGGGAUGGUAGAGGUCAAUUUGGAAAUGCGGCUACAGUAUGUGAAGACAGGCACUCCUUAAAAGCUUCGGUUUUCUUUGUGAAGGGGAAGGCAAGGUUGUCCGCUAAGACUGAAGGGAUGGGUUAACUUCUAUUCCCAGAAUCUAAUCCAGUUUCUGGGACACAGAUCUUUUAAUAAAUGAGCUUACUGAACAAACAAGAGUUUUCUUAACUCAGUUGUUCUUUAGAAUCAACACACAAUUUUCUCCAAGCUAGCCACUAGGGGGCAGUGCUGCUGCCUAUCUUUUCCCUUAAUCUUUUAACCCAGUGAAAACAGAAAAUAACCGGGCAGUAUGUGUCAACAUGUUUUUUUUUCCUCAAAAAGAUAUGGUUUCAACUUUACAUCCAUGCAUAUGUGUGUGUUCACACGGUCACACACACACAGACACAUGUAGACUGGAAUGAUGGGAGCGCAGUUCCUUCUGCCAGCCUCACUGCAACCAUACUAUGUCACCCCAGAGGCAAUACUCACCAUUUCCCAGAGGUCACUUUUUUGGUAAUUCCUCGAGGGCACACAGCAAAUAAUGAACAGACACUUUACACUUUCUUACAGUUGAUAACUUAGACAAGACGUUAAUGAAGGAAUCCCUAAAGUUAAUCUUGGUAACUAACAUACAUGUUCCAUAGCUUCAAGUUGAUUUUUUUUUUAAACUCCUAUACCUACCACCAACCCAAAUUAAAUAAAAAGUAGAUUAAAAAAUAAUUUUAAAUGGUGUAAUCUAUUUCAUAAACUUCUUUUAGCUUUGUUUCAGAUUCCUAACACAUUCUUAUAAUAAAGAUUUCUCAAUCUAUAUAAUACCACAUGGCUAACAUUUAUAACAGAAUAAGCAACAGUUUGGAGGUGUGUGUUUAGUUAUGGGGCUAGAAAAUUUCCUACUUUGGUUCUAGUGAACCUGGGCCUCUAAUGGACAGAGGGAGCUGGCAGAGUUCUAACUUAAAACAAAAAUUCUCAAAACCCCCAAAGAAAAGAAGAUGCAAAGGAAAACUGUUCCCCAGGAGUUUAGGGUUACACAAACCAGCUCAGCUUCAACUAAGACAAGUGAAUAUCCACAGCAGGGGAGACUUCCAGUCAUACCAAUGGAACACAUCACACGCUAGCCUAAGAAAACCUGUUACCAGUUUGGCCUUAUGGUCUCGAGUAUGAGGGAGAUAAGGAAAAGGCUGAAGUCAUCUUGUGACUUGAGGCUGUCAAGUACUUCAAAUGAGGGGAAAAGGUGCUUGACCCCAAAGCCUCUGAACCCUGUUAUUUUGAGCUAAAGUUGCUUGGAAACAAAAAUACCCAAGAAAUGGAUCACAAGGAGAGUCUGGGUGAGAGAGCUGAAGUAGUUACCAGUCUAUGUAGAUAAAGUGUCAAAUUGCAAACUGUUUCAAAAACAAAGUUUCAAGGUUGUUUAGGGCAGUGUUCUAACUUGACAAUUAAGUCUCAUUUUUACUGGAUACUUUAUUCCACUAGCUGGUAAGGUAAGGUAUUACACUUUGAUUGAUAGUCUUCUGAAGGUCUUGGGGCCGAAGAUAUUUUUUUGUUUUAUACUUGUGAAAAGAUUAAUAGCAACUUACUCUUCUUACCUAAUAUAAAAAUGCACCUUUGCUAAUUAACUGAUAUGGCCCUCAAGGGGAGAAAAGCUUUUCUUCACAGUUACAGUUCUUUGGCUACAUGGACAUCUCUGAAAAUGAGCUUUAAAACUGAGAUGAACACUUUAUUGUCUCAUCCCUACUAUAUUUAAAAUCUGUGUCCACUUUUGAAAGUCAUGUGCUAAAUCCUUUUUUUUCCCCCAGCAGAUGAUCUAAAUAAGAGCCUGAUUUCAUUUACAUACACACUCACUUGCACUCCCCAACAACACUUCCUUUGAAAAACAGAAUGUCACUUCCUCAAUCCAGAGGCCAGAAGUCCCUUGGUUCUGAUCUGGGGAGCCAAGACAGGAAACUCUGAACCUCCAAGCAUGGUGCCAGGCACAAAAUAGAUGUUCAGUAAACGUUUGAGAAUGAAGGAACCAACCCUUAAAGGACGACAAGCGAGAGCUGUGGACCCUUGGGACAUCCAGAACUCUGGAUCAAACACACCAGUAUCUGAGAGGGCACCUGUAAGCAGCUGAAGCGCUGAAACUCAGAGGGACUGGCCUGAUGGGAGGGGCUGAGCAACUGGAGGGGAUCAAGAAACUUGAAAAGCAAAGAAGUCAUCACCCUCCUACUGCACGUUAUUUAUCAGGAAUUCCUCAUCUAAAUAAUUUCCUGACCAAGAAAUAUUCUGAAAUAAUAUGUAACAGGAGGAAGAACAACCACUAUAGGCUAUAAGAUGACAGGAAGGAGGCACUGGAGUUGUCAAGCCCUUCUAACGUUGCGACUGGUGUCACAGGGUGCUUGGGUAGCAGCUGAGUGGAUGGCGCAGGGAAGCAUUCCUCGACCAAGAGAAAGACCUGCUUUCAGGAUACACUGCCUGGUGAACACCCUAGUGGGGUGCAGCCCUUCCGGGAAGGACAGACUGUCCCAACCGAGCAGUUACAGAGUCUAUUCUGGAGAAGAGAUGGCUGAGGAGAAGGAAGUGUGAGGUGGUUUCUCAUUUAUUAUAUUUGCAUGCCAUGAAGAAGCAGGUUCUGUUACUAUCAGGUUACAAUCAAGAUUUCUCCAAGGAUUAAAAAAAAAGCUAUCUCUUGGGUUUCCCUGUUGGCUCAGUGGUAAAGAAUACGCCUGUCAAUGCAGAAGAUCGGGGUUCAAUCCUUGAUCUGGGAAGAUCCCCCAGGCCUCAGAGCAACAAAGCCCACGCGCCACAACUGCUGAACAUGUGCUCUAGGGUCCAGGAAGCCACAACUACUGAGCCCACGUGCCACAACUACUGAGGCCUGCAUGCCCUAGAGCCUGUGUUGUGCAAAAAGGAAGCCGCUGCAAUGAGAAGCCCGAACGCCGCAGCUAGGGAGUAGCCCCCACUCACUGCAGCUAGAGGAAAGCCUGAACAGCAAUGAAGAUCCAGCACAACCAAAAAUGCAUGCAUAAAUAAAAUUUUUA